rnacentral:rRNA from 1 species
GAUGAACGCUGGCGGCGUGCUUAACACAUGCAAGUCGAACGGAAAGGCCUUGUGCUUGCACAAGGUACUCGAGUGGCGAACGGGUGAGUAACACGUGGGCGAUCUGCCCUGCACUGUGGGAUAAGCCCGGGAAACUGGGUCUAAUACCAUAUAGGACCACUUCUUGGAUGUUGUGGUGGAAAGCUUUUGCGGUGUGGGAUGAGCCUGCGGCCUAUCAGCUUGUUGGUGGGGUAAUGGCCUACCAAGGCGGCGACGGGUAUCCGGCCUGAGAGGGUGUACGGACACAUUGGGACUGAGAUACGGCCCAGACUCCUACGGGAGGCAGAAGUGGGGAAUAUUGCACAAUGGGCGCAAGCCUGAUGCAGCGACGCCGCGUGGGGGAUGACGGCCUUCGGGUUGUAAACUCCUUUCGCUAUCGACGAAGCCACCUUGGGUGGUGACGGUAGGUAGAUAAGAAGCACCGGCUAACUACGUGCCAGCAGCCGCCGUAA